UACGGAAGGGGCUAGCGUUGUUCGGAAUUACUGGGCGUAAAGAGCGCGUAGGCGGCUUACCAAGUUGGGGGUGAAAUCCCGGAGCUCAACUCCGGAACUGCCUUCAAAACUGGUAGGCUCGAGUCCGGAAGAGGGGCGUGGAAUUCCCAGUGUAGAGGUGAAAUUCGUAGAUAUUGGGAAGAACACCGGUGGCGAAGGCGGCGCCCUGGUCCGGUACUGACGCUGAGUCGCCAACGCGUGGGGAGCAAACAGG
rnacentral:rRNA from 1 species